rnacentral:rRNA from 1 species
UACGUAGGGUGCAAGCGUUGUCCGGAAUUCUUGGGCGUAAAGAGCUUGUAGGCGGUCUGUCGCGUCUGCUGUGAAAAUCCGGGGCUCAACCCCGGACUUGCAGUGGGUACGGGCAGACUAGAGUGUGGUAGGGGAGACUGGAAUUCCUGGUGUAGCGGUGAAAUGCGUAGAUAUCGAGAGGAACACCUGCGGCGAAGGCGGGUUGCUGGGCUGAUACUGACGCUGAGGCGCGAAAGCCAGGGGAGCGAACGGG